rnacentral:misc_RNA from 1 species
GAUGAAGAACGUAGCGAAAUGCGAUAAGUAAUGUGAAUUGCAGAAUUCAGUGAAUCAUCGAAUCUUUGAACGCACAUUGCGCCCGCUAGUAUUCUGGCGGGCAUGCCUGUUCGAGCGUCAUUUCAACCAUCAAGCCCCAGGCUUGUGUUGGGGGCCUGCGGCUGCCGCAGCCCCUGAAAAGCAGUGGCGGGCUCGCUGUCAUUCCGAGCGCAGUAGUUACAUCUCGCUCCGGGCGUGGCGGUGGGCACCUGCCGUGAAACACUCCUUCUAAGGUUGACCUCGGAUCAGGUAGGAAUACCCGCUGAACUUAAGCAUAUCAAUAAGCGGAGGA